GGUGCAGCUUCAAGCUUAGGACCACCCACCAUGCCUAUCCAGGUGUCAGGAGCUGGAACCGUGGCUGCAGCGAAAUAGAACUGAAAGUGCUGAAGGGCCUGACCAUCACUCAUUAAGAACAGAGGAGGCUGCCUGUUACUCCUGGUCAUCCCUCCAGACACUCUGCUGUUUCCUGCCUAGGCGUGGCUGCAGCCAUGGCUAGGAAAGCGCUGCCACCCACCCACCUGGGCCAGAGCUGGUUCUGCUCCUGCUGCAGGGACACUGAGCUGGCUAUCUCGGCGCUUCGGGCAAGAACUGCAACAGGCUCUCCUGGGUCCUGCAGGUGUACAGCCGGGCCCCUGCCUUGUGCCUCAGCUCUCGAGAGCUGCUGCUGCCGGGUGACCUGAUCCAACCUGAUAAGGUGCCAUCUUCAGCUACCACUGCAAGGCCCUGAGGGCAACAGCAGCACGGCACUGCCCACCCGGCUGCUGAUGGCCUGGUGCCAGCUGGGAGUCCUCCCGGCACUUCGAGGCCACUGAGCCACCCUUCCAGCCCCAGCCCACCAUGGACAGGGGUAUCCAGCUUCCUCCUCAACCUCGUCCUCUGCCCCUGAGCCAGUGACGCCCAAGGACAUGCCUGUUACCCAGGUCCUGUACCAGCACUAGCUGGUCAAGGGCAUGACAGUGCUGGAGGCCGUCUUGGAGAUCCAGGCCAUCACUGGCAGCAGGCUGCUCUCCAUGGUGCCAGGGCCCGCCAGGCCACCAGGCUCAUGCUGGGACCCAACCCAGUGCACAAGGACUUGGCUGCUGAGCCACACACCCAGGAGAAGGUGGAUAAGUGGGCUACCAAGGGCUUCCUGCAGGCUAGGGGAGGAGCCACCCCCGCUUCCCUAUUGUGACCAGGCCUAUGGGGAGGAGCUGUCCAUACGCCACCGUGAGACCUGGGCCUGGCUCUCAAGGACAGACACCGCCUGGCCUGGUGCUCCAGGGGUGAAGCAGGCCAGAAUCCUGGGGGAGCUGCUCCUGGUUUGAGCUGCAUUCAGGAAGUGCGGGACAUGGUAGGGGAGGCAAAAAGCCUUGGGCACUACCCUCCCUGUGGAGCUGUUCGGUGUCCGUCGAGCUAGCCACACCCUGACACCAUGUUCAAGGGUACCGGAAGAGAAGGGUGUCUGCCCCCAACCUCCCCUGUGGGUGUCACUGGCCAGAUGUCAUGAGGGAAGCAGGCCUUGUGAGUGGACACUGACCAUGAGUCCCUGGGGGGAGUGAUCCCCCAGGCAUCGUGUGCCAUGUUGCACUUCUGCCCAGGCAGCAGGGUGGGUGGGUACCAUGGGUGCCCACCCCUCCACCACAUGGGGCCCCAAAGCACUGCAGGCCAAGCAGGGCAACCCCACACCCUUGACAUAAAAGCAUCUUGAAGCUUU
rnacentral:lncRNA from 1 species